UACGGAGGGUGCAAGCGUUAUCCGGAUUCACUGGGCGUAAAGCGCGCGUAGGCGGGUUGGCAAGUCUGCUGUGAAAGCCCGGAGCUUAACUCCGGAGGGUCGGUGGAUACUGCCAAUCUUGAAGGGACUAGGGGGAGAUGGAAUUACCGGUGUAGCGGUGAAAUGCGUAGAUAUCGGGAGGAACACCAGUGGCGAAGGCGGUUGCCUGGGGCUUUGCUGACACUGAGGCGCGAAAGCGUGGGGAGCGAUCCGG
rnacentral:rRNA from 1 species